rnacentral:lncRNA from 1 species
GUUUUUUUCCCUUUUUUUUUUUUAAUCCAAUUAUUAAUGUUUGAAAUUCCUGGUGUCCCUUGCUGUUGCCAAUCAGGCAUUCAAAUGUCAACACCUCUGUGCAGGUCUGUGAAUAGUCUUGGCUUGUUGAUUGUUGUUGGUUCAUUUCUUAAUCUUUAUUACCACUGACAACAAUUCUUUUACUUGAUUUUUGCUGUAACUCUAGUCUGCAUUUGACUUCCUUUUUGUUUCUUUCCGGUUUCCCUUUUUCUUGUCUUGUCUAUUUUCUUCACACGAACAGUUGGCCAAACAGGAUGCUUUCCUACGGGUCUCUUCAGAGACAGAAGUGAUUCAAUGAAGGAAGAAAGAACUUCUUCACAAUUGAAGUGCAGUGGGAGAACUGUCAAGGUCAGCAACGGUCAGGCAUUGAUGAGGAGAUAGGAGGAUGGGGAUGGAAAUCACCAGGAAGCAGGCUGCCAUCACACCAACAGCUCUUAUCUCAAAAAGGCCAGGGACAUUAACACCUACACAGAGGAACCACGUUAUCUGCUCCUUUCUUCAUCGUGCAGAUCUGCAUUGGCCGUGGUCUCCAGUGGUUUAUUGGUUUAACUUGAACUCCUACAAUUACAUUAUUUUGUUUUGACAUUUAAUGUGAUAAGUGUGUCCCGCUGACAGCUUGAAAAGCACAGUGUAAUACCAAUUAGCAGGAAGAUUGGAGUCACUUGGCUGAAAGCUGUGCACACUUUUUGCCUUUGAAAGUCGCCAAGAAUCUCUGAGGAAAUGGAAACAAAACUGAUUGUGUGGCACCUUUUAAUGUUACUUUGUCUCAACAAGUGACCUUUUGGAAUUCCUCUAAAGGCAUACUUCUUUUUAAUCGCUAGAGUAUGGCUGCCCUCUUAACCAUUCCUUCAUUUUGACGCAUUAAUCCCUGUGACCUACGUUUCUACAUAUCACAGAGCAUACACUAGGGAACUGGAAAUAGACCAGACCUGCUCUGUUUUUUUCUUUUUUCUUUAAUAAAGGUAGAUAUUGCUUGGAAGAGCAUAGCAUAAAGUACUGAAAAUUAAAAAGCUUUGAAUUGUUAUGCAUUGUCCAUCUUUAGAAUUAACCGGCUCCAGAAGGUCGCCAUUGUUUUUU